rnacentral:rRNA from 1 species
UACGUAGGGUGCGAGCGUUAAUCGGAAUUACUGGGCGUAAAGCGUGUGUAGGUGGUUUGCUAAGUCAGGUGUGAAAUCCCAGGGCUCAACCCUGGAACUGCAUUUGAUACUGGCAGGCUAGAGUGUGGUAGAGGAUGGUGGAAUUCCCGGUGUAGCGGUGAAAUGCGUAGAUAUCGGGAGGAACAUCAGUGGCGAAGGCGGCCAUCUGGACUAACACUGACACUGAGACACGAAAGCGUGGGGAGCAAACAGG